rnacentral:rRNA from 1 species
AGGACGAACGCUGGCGGCGUGCUUAACACAUGCAAGUCGAACGAGAUCCAUUCAGUAGCAAUACUGAUGAAGAUCUAGUGGCGAACGGGUGCGUAACACGUGAGGAGCUUGUCCCGGUCUCUGGGAUAACAGUUGGAAACGACUGCUAAUACCGGAUGACGUCGGAACUUCGCAUGGAGUACUGACGAAAGGGUUACUGGAUCGGGAGAGCCUCGCGGCCUAUCAGCUUGUUGGUGGGGUAAUGGCCUACCAAGGCAUCGACGGGUAGCUGGUCUGAGAGGAUGAUCAGCCACACUGGGACUGAGACACGGCCCAGACUCCUACGGGAGGCAGCAGUGGGGAAUCUUGCACAAUGGGCGAAAGCCUGAUGCAGCAACGCCGCGUGCGGGAAGAAGGCCCUCGGGUUGUAAACCGCUUUCAGAAGGAACGAAACUGACGGUACUUCAGAAGAAGGUGCGGCCAACUACGUGCUAGCAGCCG